CUCAACCUUUACAAGGCAUGUAUUAAAUAGGGCUGGUGACCUCACAUGCGCACAAGCUCGAGCUCGAGCAGACUUGCUACUAAAUUCUACAAUGAGGCUUCUGUUUUCUAUGUGAGAAACAGGACUAAGUUCUUCUACAGUGGCGAUCUGCACCCCCACCUGAUUAAGGUACCAUGCUGCCCCCUGCAUUUAUGGAUUAAAUGGCUGGCAUCCCAGAUGUCCACAUGAUCAUCAUCAACUUCUUCCACGUGAAGCCUGAAAAUCAUGAGAAGUUCCCUUUCAUUUAUUAGGAAUCCAUCAGGAGCCAAAGCAGACCCAGAGAAACUCCAACUAUUGCUACAACCUCCGCAUAUACUGUUGUGGAUCCUAAGUCAGCUUCAGGUGAUGUUAACAAGAGUGCAAACUACAGCUAAUGCACAGAUAAAAGCAAUAGAGGAGUAUCUGUGCUGUCUGGAAAAAUGAUGGUACUUGCAAAAGAUUUGGCUGUACGUGCCCUGUGCAGUAAAUAUAGGACUUCAGAGUGCAGGGGUCCCGGACAGCAGUGCGGAGAACCAAGUAGCACUGAAUCUUACACAUGAUCAGAAUAUAGAAGAGCAGAAUUCUAAUUUAACCAUGCCUGAUCAUUCCCCACAUUAAAUGGGGAGACAAAUGUGAUAAUCGGGUUAUACCCAACAAAGGGUACAUGGUAGCCACAGUACACAACUCUUUCUAGUCACAUGACAAGAUGUCUCCAACCCUCUUGUCCAGUAUAAGUGGUGGUAAAUGGGAAAGAGAUGGAGCAACUGUAAAGGAAAAGGCAAUGCCUCUACAGCAGGAACAAAGGGCAGUAUCUCCUUUUAUUCCAAUAGGGAUGAUUUGAAUGCUUCAGUCAUUCUUCCUCCUUUUGGGCAGGUUUGCCCUUUUGCAGGAGUGGCUGCUGAACCAUAAAAGGCUCAGCUGGGGUAAGUUUCAUCAGGGAUUUUGGUGUCCCGACCAGCUAAAAUAAUGAUCUCUUGCCAGGAAGGAAGGCUAGAAGUAUGCAGGGAUCUGAGAAGUUGACCUUCCUGGAGCCUAUACUCCCCCGAUACACUAGAUGGCAGCAUUCUUGUCUUAUUGCCUCUGCUUUUCAACACACAGGCAUGAUGGGCAAUGUAGUCCUGUCCAACAGUAUGAUGGUACACUAGAACUACUUCCAGGGGGAACUGCAGUAAGAAACCAUCUCUGCCUUCUAGAGGCUUCUGCUUGACACAGAAAUACUUCAAUCAGAAUGUAGACAGACAUUGGAAGUACUCCCAGGAUCCAGUUUAAAAGGACCAUUCUGCUUGGCCUCUGAGUCAGAGCUGGGAGGAAGGAAGGCAACACUUGCAGAAGUAAGGUGGAUGGAGAUUGAGAGAGAAAGAGAGACCAAAGAGCAAGCAUUUUUACUGUGUUUUGGCUGUGAUAGUUGUCUUCUUAAGAGCUGUGUGGAAUAAAGUUCUUUUAUGGGACCAGAGUGUUGACCGGUCUUCUGUAUCUGGGGUUUGGAGCCUCGGUAGUGGCCUCUACUAUUCACACUAGUUAUGUUAGCUUGGCAAAGGCUACCUGGUCCUAUAUUUCAUACAAUAUAUAAACACACCAUUCUCUAAUACCAUUGGACAGGAAGCUAUAGCAUUUACUUCAAAGACUUCAAAAGUUAAUGCUUUAUGCUUUCAAGUAGAUUCUCCCCAGUCAAAUUAUGUACAGGAAUACCUAGAGAUAAAGUUCUCAUACAAAUAAAACUUGUAUUGUCCCUUCUAUUGCACAUAUUCCUUACAUCAAAAUCACCCUGUUGAUUUUUCCAGCCAUAGUCAGUACUAGGUUCCCACCAUUGGUUUCCACUAAAGAUGCUCUGUAUCUUUGCUGGACAGUAGGUGUUAGUCUUCCGUUCACAAGACAUCAAGCAUUAAUACAAGAUAUUGACUUUUUUCAAUGGUACAUUUGAAUUGCAAGGGUCAUACCUAAGCUUCUUUACUGAUGUUAAAAAAUCUUCUCCAGCAGCUAGGAUCUUUGCUUUGCAUCUGGGCUUUCCAAUUAACAAACAUCUGCUGCGGUAUAAUUACUACUUUGUUUAGUUGCUGUAACAAUGUGUUGUAAAACUACAGUAUUUUUCAUGUUACUUUGGAAGGCUAGUUGGAGGGUUUUACUAACAUUUGGUUCCUAGGAAGACAAUGUUAAUCAUCUGUUCUGUACUGCCACCAGCAGUUUUUAGUUUGUUAUAUAUAUCUUCUAGGCCAGAGUUUCACAUUUGAAUGUAAAUUGUCCUUAUUCCAAAAACACUAUUAAUUGUCUCUCAUAUGUUUCUUGUUUAUUUCUUUAAAUUAUUUUCAGCAAAUUACCCAGCAUUGUCUAUAAGGCAGCAGAUCCCUCACACUUAGUCCCGUUAACACUAAAACCUGUACCGUACUCUGUAAUGUUAACAUCAUCUGCCAAUAAUCUCUUAGACUGUCCCUAUCUGGCAUACACAUCAACCAAAUCCUAAAAAUAUUAGCAUUAAAAUGAAGGGUCCUCUGGUGGAAGUCUUAUAGUGCUAGCAUUAUAUGAAGGAAUCCCUGGUGGCAUAUAGGUGUAAUGUUUUGUCUCCAAAAGUAACUGUGCAUUCCCCAUUUACCCUUGUAGCAGUAGAUACAAGAGUGAGGGGCUAGAUUCAGACAUACAGUUGUGCUUGAAAGUUUGU